rnacentral:tRNA from 1 species
ACCAAAAUGGCUGACAAAAGUAAUAAACUGUAAAUUUAUUUAUGAAAUAAAAAUUUCUUUUGGUA